GGUGAGUCAAAUCGGACUAAAACUGGCCGAUUUUUAAAAUUACAAAAAGCAAAAUAUAAAAAGAAAAAAAAACAUAAAUAAUACAAAGAGACAUACACACAGUGAAAAAAGACAAAAGAAUACACUCUAAAAAAAAGACAAAAAAAGAAAUAAACACAGUGGAGAAAAAUAGAAACAUGAGAAACAAAGAAGGAAAAUGGAGUCUUUCGACGCGGAAUUUCGGUGGAUCUGGAACGGCAUGGCGCAGGGACAACAGAUCUAGGGUGGCGCGGCAUCGACGAAUCGGAUAUGAAACUAUGAAGGGAGUUAUGCGGGAUUGGUGGCUACGGCAUGAAACUAGGAAUAAGAGGACUUGAGGAGUGAUAUACUAGGGUUAAUAGAUAUGGGCUUCCA
rnacentral:lncRNA from 1 species